CGAAUCUCAAAUCAAGUAAGACUACCCGCUGAACUUAA
rnacentral:rRNA from 1 species